rnacentral:lncRNA from 13 species
CUUUACUCAGGGUAAAGCUGUACCAGAGAACAUAGCUUGCACCGUGGCUGGAUAGGGGCCACUACCCACCAAGUCUGGUCUGUCAUUUCUACCUAUGUGUAGAGAGAGUUCUCUUCAGAGCACACUUGACCUGCCUGUGCCGGGAAGGGAAUCUCUGCUCUCAUUCCCUGUUAACACAGAGAAGAGAGCCGUGGGACAUCAGCCUCCAGAAGCUCUGGGCAGAACACAACCAAAGCUUGAGGACAAGAACACACUCACCUGGAAGAAUGGGACAAUGCUUGGGAGAACGAAUAGAAUGAAACAACUUAAUAGUCCGGAUGUUUGAACUGAGGAAGAGACACCAGGGAGGUGCGCCCAUGGAGAUGACCCUGGGAAGAGGCAGAAAGAGGGCCACCAUCUGCAGACCCAGGAGAGCCGCCUCAGAAGAACCCAACCCUACCAGGAUCUCGAUUUUGUACCACUAGCCUCCAGAACUGUAAGAAAAUAAAAUUCUACUGUGUCAGCC